rnacentral:lncRNA from 1 species
UCCCUGCCUGGCGACGCGAGGCACCCUUCCAGUUCCUCCGCUGCCUAGGCCAGGCCUCUGGUUGGCACCUAAAGAGCUGCUGGCUACGGGGAGACUAGGGUGGCGGGAGCUAUCAUCCUCCUCCCUUAUUCUAUGAGGAAUCAAGUGGCUGAUAAACCUGUCGGUUCUCCUUAGCACCCGUUAGCCUCCAAAAAUGAUACCUGUGUUGGAGACUUCCUCGGUCAACCUGGCAUUCAAGCGGGCCUUGCCAGGGGAAACCGUCCCUACAAAAUGUUCCGUCACAAGGAAAGCUAGUACUGUUCGAUCACCGUGGAUGCAGUUAGGCUGACCAUUGAGCUGGUACUAACCUUCCGGCAAAGUCCACCGAAGGGCUCGACUUCCAGUUACCUUACACAAACUAUCAGUGGAUCCUCCUCGUAGGCGAUCGUCAGUCCCAACCCAAAGAACCAUGAUACAAGCCUUGGAGCCUCAUACCAACCAUAUUAUAGACUACGUAGCCGACCCACACUGCAUGUGGAAGAAAGUCUAUAAGCCUAAAGUAACCAGAAGCCGAAAAGCAAAAAAAAAACAUUUUAGAGCACUCUUGACCCUUGAGUCUCUUGUCACACUACAUAAGGCAUGUGUAUUUGUUCUCAGUGAGGUGUCGCCUCCCCACGUUCUUUGGGAUAACCUCGAGGAGUCGAUGGCUCAAGCCAUUGCCUCGACAUGUGGAAUAAAAUCGAGGGAGUGGGAGCCCCGAGAGGGACCGGGGAACGGACGGGGAGCAGAGAAUUGAUUCGGGUCUCCGAGGAGGCGAGGGCUUUGGCCGCCUAGUCCAAAUCUAUUCGGAUAAAAGCUAGUGGAGGUACGCCGGCCUCCUUUCGAGGCCUCCCCGGCAGACUGACAAGCUCGGGGACCCUCCUCCUCGGGCUACCUGCCCGGGAGCUUUGUAUACCUGUAUGGUGUACCACUUGCUCUCCUGAGCGAUCAUCGGAAGGUUCACUAAACUUUACACUAUCAUUGAUAUACAAGCAAUGAAGCAAUGCAGGAAGUGACAUAGUAAGAUUUAUUAAAAGGAAAAUUGUAGGGCAAGUAAAGCUAUCUAAUAUUUCCAUUUGAUCAAGCCCACCAAUCCAAUUUUAUCCAAUCAUCCUAGUUGUAAUAGAGCCUUUUACAGAUACAACUACUUCAGCAAUCAGUAGUACACAAAUUAAUACAGUCAUUACUGGGAUUUUAUCAAGCGUAUACUUCACAGUAACAAUAAAAUCAACAAAAUAUACUGAGACUAACUUAAUAUCAGCAUCAAGUAACAGUUUAUCAGUAACAAUAGGUACUGCAUCAGUGAUGAGUACACCAGUGAGUACAUUACAAAGUACAGACAGUAAUACACUAUUAAUAGCAGAAAGUUUUAUUACAGCAGUAUUUAUAUUACUGGUAAUUACUAUACUAGUAAUAUUAAUGGUAAGUGUAUUAGUGUGUAGGAAAAUAUGGGAUAAAACAUCAAAUGGAGAUGGUACUUCCAGUUCUGAUAAAAUAAAAGCUGAUAUAAAUCAACAACCAGAUGGUAGUGUUUAUUGGAUUCACCUUUUUUGCAUAGGCGAGUACUACUUAAUACCAAGUAUCAAUAACAGACAGAAUACACCAACAGCAUGAGCUUAUCCUGCUUAUGGAGUAAUUGGGGAACAAGAAAGUAAGAUUAUCUUAAUAAUAUUAACAUCAUGACACAGACUGUAAUACUGAUAUAUCUGCUAAUCCUGCAUACGGUGUUAUUUAAAGCAUGAACUUUAAAUUAUUAUUAUCAAUCAAUACAACUAUUAGUAUAGGAUCUGGUACCUCUACUAAUUAUUAACACUGGAGGAAUGGAAAGUAUCAAUGAAGAAUUAUUAGUGUAUGAUGAACCAAGAACAAUGUAUGAACAAGAGGUAUAAGUAUAUCUAUAUCAAGAGUAACAUACUGUCAACUGCCAAUUACCAAGUGAAUACAUUAUGUAUUGAACAUAGCUCUACUAGUACAAUUUAAUUGCAUUAAUUUGUGCUUGUGUAUUCUAUUAAUCUUUAAUACUUAAUACCAA